rnacentral:lncRNA from 1 species
GCUUGAGUAUUUCUGUCCCAGUUGCCUGCUUUGUAUCAACAAGCACCUCUCUCCUCAGCCACUCACAGCCCUGUCCUCUCUACAUCCAAUGCCAAGGUCUGGGGAUCCUCACUGGGACACUCAGCCUUGGGUUGGCCCAAUCAGGACUUAGACCCAAUCGGGAGAGACAGCCCCUGGCUUCUCUUCUCCAGGCCUUGAAGUAAAGACUGGGCGUGCUCCUUUUCACCAGUGCUGACAGCCCAGAAGAUGAAGCUGAGGAGCAGGUGAAGUUGACUGAAUGCCAUACUUCCUGCCUCUUCUCAAGACCCCAUGGAGGCUUUCCAGAGGAUGCCCUCUGCUUAGCAGUAAAACCAAUGCCUGUCCUGGGUGGGAAGGGAUUGAAGACAGAGCAGCUCAGAUCCUGCCUCCCAGGGGCUUCAGACCUGGCGUAUGUGACAAGACAGCUUGUGACACAGGUGACCUGAGAGAGGGAAUGAAGUCCCAAGUGGAAGCCAGCAGCGGCUAUAUGGAACUGCCCAGCCUGUCUGAGGAAGAUCCUGGCCCAAGUCCAGAAGCCAGGAGCUAAGCCCAAGCAGCCCCUACUCACAGGAGGAUGCUAGAACAUCUAAGGAUGCCCAGAACUCUCUCUUCACAGUCAGGACUGACUUAGCAGCCCUGUGGGAUGGGCUUAGGGGCAAUUGUGGCACCAUUUCACAGACUGAGACCCUGAAGUCCAGAGGCAUGGAUGUACUGCAGUCAGUGGUACAUGCAUCCUUGGGGACAUGCACCCCUGUUUUUGUUAGAGUUAGUUCUGGUCAAGAGUCUAGAAUGUCUGGCCUAGGUGGAGGUCUAACAUUCCAGCUGGGCCAUGUCAUUCACUCAGCCAAGGGAACAGUCCUGUGGUGGUGGGCUCACCUUAAGCCGUGCUAAAGAGAUGGGCAGAAUAACUAGCAUUUAGUGAGAUACUGUACUUUUCCUUGCAGAAUCCCAGCCUCUAGUGCAGUUGCUUAGGGCUACAGCCAUGUAACAUGUCUAAGUCUGCCCUGUCCAUUUUCCUGAAUUAUUCAGAAAAAGUGUAACUUCUCCUUCUCUCCUUUCUGCCUCUUUUCUAAGCAUUAUUUCUUUUCAGGCUUUCCCUCCAACACUUUGGAUUUCCCUACACUUUCCCUAAAGCCUCACUUCUCACCAGAGAGC